rnacentral:rRNA from 1 species
GACGAACGCUGGCGGCGUGCCUAAUACAUGCAAGUCGAACGCUGAAGCGAGGAGCUUGCUCUUCUUGGAUGAGUCGAGAACGGGUGAGUCACGCGUGGAUACCCUGCCUGGCAGUGGGGGAUCACUAUUGGAAACGAUAGCUAAUACCGCAUAAACUUGUUCAUCGCAUGGUAAUUUAUUGAAAGUUGCAACUGCAUCACUACCAGAUGGACCUGCGUUGUAUUAGUUAGUUGGUGAGGUACCGGCUCACCAAGGCGACGCUACAUGGCCGACCGGAGAGGGUGAGCAGCCGCACUGAGACGGUGACACGGCCCAUAGUGCUACGGGAGGCAGCAGGAGGGAAUCUGCAGCAAGGAGGGGAGCACUGAGCGAGCAACGCCGCGGGAGUGAAGAAGGUUUUCGGAUCGUAGAGCGCGGUUUUAAGAGAAUAACGGGUGUGAGAGUGGAAAGAUCACUGUGUGACGGUAUCUGAUCAGAAAGGGACGGCUAACUACGUG